rnacentral:rRNA from 1 species
CCUACGGGAGGCAGCAGUGAGGAAUAUUGGUCAAUGGACGGAAGUCUGAACCAGCCAUGCCGCGUGCAGGAAGACGGCUCUAUGAGUUGUAAACUGCUUUUGUACAAGGGUAAACCUGAAUACGUGUAUUCAGCUGAAAGUACUGUACGAAUAAGGAUCGGCUAACUCCGUGCCCGCAGCCGCGGUAAUACGGAGGAUCGCAGCGUUAUCCGGGUUUAUUGGGUUUAAAGGGGUCGUGGGCGGAUAGUUAAGGUCGAGGGGAAAUGUGCGGGGUUAACUCGGGAACUGCCUCUAAUACUGUUGAUCUAGAGAGUAGAUGCGGUAGGCGGAAUGUAUGGUGUAGCGGUGAAAUGCUUAGAGAUCAUACAGAACACCGAUUGCGAAGGCAGCUUACCAAUCUAUAUCUGACGUUGAGGCACGAAAGCGUGGGGAGCAAACAGGAUUAGAUACCCCAGUAGUC